CUCAGUAACGGCGAGUGAAGCGGUAACAGCUCAAAUUUGAAAUCUGGCCUCACGGUCCGAGUUGUAAUUUGUAGAGGAUGCUUCGAGCAUGGUCUGGCCUAAGUUCCUUGGAACAGGACGUCAUAGAGGGUGAGAAUCCCGUAUGCGGCCAGGUGCCUACGCUCAUGUGAAGCUCCUUCGACGAGUCGAGUUGUUUGGGAAUGCAGCUCAAAAUGGGUGGUAAAUUUCAUCUAAAGCUAAAUAUUGGCCAGAGACCGAUAGCGCACAAGUAGAGUGAUCGAAAGAUGAAAAGCACUUUGGAAAGAGAGUUAAACAGUACGUGAAAUUGUUGAAAGGGAAGCGCUUGCAACCAGACUUGCGCGCGGCCGAUCAUCCGGUGUUCUCACCGGUGCACUCGGCCGUGCUCAGGCCAGCAUCGGUUUUGGCGGCUGGAUAAAGGCCCUAGGAAUGUAGCUCCUCUCGGGGAGUGUUAUAGCCUAGGGUGCAAUGCAGCCUGCUGGGACCGAGGACCGCGCUUCGGCUAGGAUGCUGGCGUAAUGGUUGUAAGCGGCCCGUCUUGAAACACGGACCAAGGAGUCUAACAUCUAUGCGAGUGUUUGGGUGUCAAACCCAUACGCGUAAUGAAAGUGAACGGAGGUGAGAACCCUUAAGGGUGCAUCAUCGACCGGUCCUGAAGUUUACGGAAGGAUCUGAGUAAGAGCAUAGCUGUUGGGACCCGAAAGAUGGUGAACUAUGCCUGAAUAGGGUGAAGCCAGAGGAAACUCUGGUGGAGGCUCGCAGCGGUUCUGACGUGCAAAUCGAUCGUCAAAUUUGGGUAU
rnacentral:rRNA from 1 species